GCGCUCAUCCUCACCAAGGAAUUGAGCCCUCAUGUCCACCGCCGUCUCCCCGCUCGCCCCCACCGAUGUUCCUGACAUGCCGCAGAUCGACGGCGUGCGCCUUGCGACGGCGGGCGCCGGCAUCCGCUACAAGAACCGCACCGACGUGCUGCUGGCGCUGUUCGACAAGGGCACCACGGUGGCCGGCGUGUUCACCAAAUCGAAGUGCCCGAGCGCCGCGGUGGACUGGUGCCGCGCCAGGCUCAAGGGCGGCGAGGCCCGUGCGCUGGUGGUCAAUUCCGGCAAUGCCAACGCCUUCACCGGCAAAACGGGAAAGCAGGCAACCACGCUGACCGCAUCGAUC
rnacentral:misc_RNA from 1 species